UACGUAGGGGGGCAAGCGUUUGUCCGGAAUCAUUGGGCGUAAAGAGCGUGUAGGCGGUCCGUUAAGUCUGAUGUGAAAAGCCCUGGGCUCAACUCAGGAAUUGCAUUGGAAACUGGCGGACUCAGAGUACCGGAGAGGGAAGCGGAAUUCCUGGUGUAGCGGUGAAAUGCGUAGAUACCAGGAGGAACACCGGUGGCGAAAGCGGUUUCCUGGCCGAGUACUGACGCUGAGGCACGAAAGCGUGGGGAAGCGAACGGGG
rnacentral:rRNA from 1 species